CCUGUAAUAGAAGUUCGGAAGAAAUUUAUUUACAGUAGAGGCUUGGAUGGAAUUCGCUUACAGUAAAGAUCCAGAGUAGACCGUUUGUAGUAGAAGUUUGGAGUAGAGAUCCGGCUGGCGAAGCCCUUCCAUUGUCGACAUUCGUCUGGGAUCCCUCCACAGUGAGAGUUCGACUGGAAUCUGAUUCUCGUAAGAGCUCGGAUGGAAUCCAGAAGGUGAUCGACCGCUGUAGAAACUUGGAUGGAGUCUGGUUACUAUAGAAAUUUCAUUGUCGGAGAAGCUC
rnacentral:lncRNA from 1 species